rnacentral:lncRNA from 1 species
CAGAAUGAAAAUUCUCUGGGGCUUAUGCCUACCACCUCCAGACUCUAAUUACACUAGGAGAAACCAAUGUUGCUGCAGAAUGCUUGAGUUAGCAUUUCCUGACUUUGCUGCCGUGUAGAGAAUUUGCAUGUGUGGACAUUGCUUUGGAUCCCUCUGGAUCAGAAGUUCCCUUGUGGGCCCACUGUGAAGAUGAAUUGCUAAACGAAUUGUGAUACAGCCACACAAUGGACUACUGCUCAGCAAUAAAAAGGAAUGAACUAUUGAUAUGCCCAACAACGUAGAUGAACCUCAAAACCGUUAUGUUUGUUGAGAGGUUCGCUGUGGCUUGAACGUCUGUCCCUUGCCAAACUCAUGUUGAAAUGUAAUUGCCAUUGUAACAGUCUUAAGAGCCGAGCAUGGUGGCUGACGCUGGUAAUUCCACCACUUUGGAAGGCCAAGAUGUGAGGAUCACUUGAACCCGGGAGUUCCAGACCAGCCUGGACAGCAUAGUGAGAUUCUGUCUCUAUGCAAAAUAAAAUAAAAUAAAAAAUUAUCCAGGCACGGUGGCAUGCGCCUGUAGUUCCAGCUACUUGGGAGGCUGAGGCAAGAGGAUUGCUGGAACCCAGGAAGUUGAGGAUGCAAUAAGCUUGAUCACGCCACCACACUCCAGUCUGGGCGACGGAGCGAGACCCUGCCUCAAGAGAACAAACAACAACAACAGAAACCUAUGUUUCCCUCUAUGCACUGCUUUAGCUCGUUCAAUUUAAAAUAGUCUCUAAUUUCCCUCGUAUGUCUUUUAUGAUCCAUAAAUAAUUUAUAAGGGUGCUGUUUAAUUUCCAAAUAUUUGUGAUUUCCUCUGAAAUAGAUUAUUCCCACUGACUUAUUUCUGAUUUGUUUCACACAGUGUGCUUUGUAUGAUUUUAAUACAUUUAAAUUCAUUUAAAAUUGUUUUAUGGCCCAACAUAUGGUCAGUCUUGAAAAAUGUACUUCUUUUCACUUGAAAAGAAGUGUGUUUUUCAGUUCUAUAAAUGGUGUCCUAUGAAUUUCAAUUAGAUCAUGGGAGUUGAUAAUGUUAAAAUCUUCUAAGUCUACUGAUUUUUAAAAAUCUAGCUGUUGUAUUAAUUGGUAAGAAGAGUCUUAAAUAUAAUACUCUGACUGUAAAAUAGUCUAUUUUUUCUUUUCAUUCUGUCGAUUUUUGCCUGAUGUAUUUUGAAACUCUGUUCUUAGGUCUAUACACAUUUAUAAUUAUGUCUACACACAUUUAUAAUUAUGUCUACCUGAUCAAUUGUUCUUUUUUCUCAUAAUAAAAUAUCCCUCAUCUCUUCUAAUAU